rnacentral:misc_RNA from 1 species
AAAAUUUAGCUGCACUGGUUUAGGCUGGUUGCACGCUUCAACCCUUUGUGAACCAAAAACCCUUUACGCUUCGGCAGCUGGUUCCAGCUGUAAGCCUGCCGAUGGCACCAAUUUAAACCUGACUUUAAAACAUUGUCUGAAUAAACCAUUUUCGAAUGAAAAUUAAAACUUUCAACAACGGAUCUCUUGGUUCU